CAAGUCGAACGCGAAAGUUCCCUUCGGGGAGCGAGUAGAGUGGCGCACGGGUGAGUAACACGUAGGUAAUCUACCUUUGGAUUGGGAAUAACAACCGGAAACGGUUGCUAAUACCGAAUAAUGCAGCGGCACCUAAUGGUGACAGUUGUUAAAGCGGGGGAUCGCAAGACCUCGCGUCUAAAGAGGAGCCUGCGGCGGAUUAGCUAGUUGGUAAGGUAAUGGCUUACCAAGGCUAUGAUCCGUAGCCGGCCUGAGAGGGCGGUCGGCCACACUGACACUGACAUACGGGUCAGACUCCUACGGGAGGCAGCAGUCGGGAAUUUUGGGCAAUGGGCGAAAGCCUGACCCAGCAACGCCGCGUGAAGGAUGAAAUCCUUCGGGAUGUAAACUUCGCAAGAACGGGAAGAAUAAGUAAGAGCUAACAUCUCUUAUGAUGACGGUACUGUUUGUAAGCUCCGGCUAACUCCGUGCCAGCAGCCGCGGUAAUACGGGGGGAGCAAGCGUUGUUCGGAUUUACUGGGCGUAAAGGGCGCGUAGGCGGCCACCGCAAGUCGAUUGUGAAAUCUCCGGGCUUAACCCGGAAAGGUCAACCGAUACUGCGGGGCUAGAGUGCAGAAGGGGCAACUGGAAUUCUCGGUGUAGCGGUGAAAUGCGUAGAUAUCGAGAGGAACACCUGCGGCGAAGGCGGGUUGCUGGGCUGACACUGACGCUGAAGUGCGAAAGCUAGGGGAGCGAACGGGAUUAGAUACCCCGGUAGUCCUAGCCUUAAACGAUGAAUGCUUGGUGUCUGGGGUUUUAUAGUCCCCGGGUGCCGUCGCUAACGCUUUAAGCAUUCCGCCUGGGGAGUACGGUCGCAAGACUGAAACUCAAAGGAAUUGACGGGGACCCGCACAAGCGGUGG
rnacentral:rRNA from 1 species